CUUCAACGAGCCGAGCCACAACGGCUGUUCGCGAUCCUGACCGUAGGUGGCAAGGAGGGCCUGGGCCUC
rfam:Actinobacteria bacterium OK074 ctg128, whole genome shotgun sequence.